AUAAGGAUUAUCACUAGUCCACUGCCUUUGCUGAAUCUUCAUCGUACAGUGCAUUCUUUUGGAACAUCCGAAAUUCAGGUGGUGAUUUUCCAACCCUCCAUUCCCCAACAGGAAGAUGUAGCAAUGAAGAAUACUUUGCUCUCUCUACGCUACUUUCUGCUAUCCUUCAUUUGAAAGGUUUGGGAGGAGCAUGGUAGCAGUUCGAAUGUGACUGCAAUUGCCAGGCAUUUCACCCCUAAUGAAAAUUGUGCAAGCAAUUUUGAUAAGUUACAAAUUGCCUCUUCUAUCUCAAUCUCAAGGCAUGCCAAGCCAACACCCACAGAACAGACUCUGAGGUCAUCUCCUCAUUUAUGUCCAGCUAAUCUUCCGAGAAAAGAGGACUGUCAAGCAGGAUGGGGACAGACCAAACCUGAGCUGUGCAAAGAAAAAAAUUAAGAUGGUUCUCCUCCAGUCAAUGCUGCCUUGUGUUUCCCUUGAUACGGGUCUGGAUAAUUUAUGAUCACAUGAGCUGGAUAAACCUCCAGUUCUUGCCUGCCUGGGCUUCAGCCUGUUAGCUGGGAAAGACCACACACAAGCCAGAGCUGACUCUUGGCUACUAAGUGGACACGUAAUCCAUGCUGUUUUCUUGGCAGCAAAAUGGGAAUAGUGUGUCACAACCUUCUCCCAAGAUGUUUUUUUUUUUUCACAACUACCAACACUAACCUAAAACUUGGAUUCCUUGAUAUCCUCUCAGCUCCACUUGGCUUUCAAAACCAGACAAAGUGUUGAAAGCAUGAUUUUAUACAAUUAACCAGAAGUAAGACCAAUUUAGGGGUACUCACUUCUGUGAAUGAGUAUUAGAAUGUGUUAUGAAAUAGUCCAGCUACAUGCACCUUUUCUUGUAAGUUUCACUAUUUGAAUGGGUUUUAUUCAUAGGGAGCUGGGAAAGUAGACUGAUUUAUUUUCAUUUUUAUGGUACAUUAGAACAAAUGGAAUUAUUAAAAAUAAGAGGGAAAAAAAGUUGUUCCAGGCUGCAAUCCUCCUGAGAAGAAAUUCAUUCCUGAGCAACUCAUUCCUCAAGAUUAACACUGGGUGGAGCAGGCCUCUUUUGAGACAUUAACCUGAAUCAGAGUGACCAGAUAAUAUUGAUUUUGAGGGCGGCCAUGUUUAAUUUUCAAGGGGUUGUGAAAUGGACACGCUGACCAACAUGUUAUUGCAUACCUGAAUCUGUUGUGGAAGUUUCAAAGAUAUUGUCCUGGAAGAUUUACAUUGCUUGCAUUAAUAACUUCCUGUCCUACUUGUAGUGUUAAUUAACUGAGCAAAUCAAGGAUGAUUAUCUUAUCUCACCAAUUACUGCUGCUUUAAGUGAAUGGUCACCAACGUUGUGCUUCAAUUGGAUUCACAGGCUGGGCAUACUUUAUUUCAAAAAAAUGUUUAUGGCUACUAAGCCUCCUCAUUCCAUAUUUGCAAAUAUACCUCAUCCCGUAGUCCAAAACGACAUCGGGCCAACAAUCUGAGCCUCACCAAUGAAGUUAUUAAAUGUCAGUGCUGACUUCCUAAAGACCUUGGCUACCAGAAAUUAAACAUACAUAUAUAAUGGUUGUAGUUGUUAUUAUUUUUAAUUUUUAUCUAAAAUAUUUGAAAAGAGAUUUAUUCUAGUUAAGGGGACUUUUCAGAGCUUUCCAUCUCUUCGGAAAGCAUUUUUGGAAUGCAUUUAGGGUUUCUUCCUGGCCUUCUCUGAAGCUCGAUAUUAUUCUAUGAAUCUUAGAUUCUGAUUUACUUAUAAGAUUGCCUGCAUGCCAUCUGUACAUUGUGUGACAUAAUUGGACUUCUGUUGAACUGUUUUGUAGUGAUUAAAAAGGGAGAUGGGAACUGCUUGUGAGGAGCACAUGCUCAGAAUAAAUUAAUAUUCUGACUUUU